GACAGACAGACAGGGUUACUGCUGGAGCCACACGCUGGUCCCUGUGUGUGGUUCCUCCUCUCUCUUCUGGAAGCUGUCUCCGACCUGGAGCCGCGGAUUGGUGUGAAUCGCGAGCGCAACGAUCAGCACAGAGCUGAGGUUGCAACCUUGGUUGGAACAACUAAGGGAAGGGCUGCAGCUGUGCGGCCUUCUUUCACUAAACCCCGCAGUACCCAGAUGUUCCUGGGGAAGAUUUAAAGGUCAAUGCAUAGUUUGUCAAGGCAUGGCAUUCAUCCUCAACUGAGUGACAAAGGGACUAGCAGGCAUCAGGUGACCGCAAGGACUUCCUUAAUGAAACUGAAGAGAGAAAACUGCAGCAUCAAAGUGGGAAAGAAAUGUUCCCCAGCCGGCCUCCAGAGCACCUCCGCCGGCCUCCAGCCGGCCUCCAGAGCGACUUCGCCUGGCCUCCAGAGCGACUUCGCCUGGCCUCCAGAGCGACUCCGGCCGCCCUGUCCGCCUCCAGGGCAGUCCUACCCGCUUCGCUGGCCCCGUCUUGCUGGCCUCCCCCGACUUCCUGCCCGGACUUCCCCUUCCAGUCUUGUUCUCUGGCCUCCUUUGCCCCGUAAAUCCUUCCUCUGGACCCCCUCCUCCCACCCUGCUAGUUUAAAAAAAAAAUUGGGACGUCUGGGAUCGGUCCCUUGAGAAGGGGGUUCUGUCACAGUCUUUGGUUUCCUGUUUUAUUUAGAAGUUUCACUCCCCCUUGUGUCACGUCUUGUUUUACUUCCUGUCCUUGUGUCUGUCUCCCCAUCUGUGUCUUGUUCCCCUCAUUAGUUUCUGUGUAUAUAUCCCUGUAUGUCUCAGUGUUCUUUGUGGGAUCGUUGCUCAGCCUGUUCGUGCCUACCCCGUGCCUACCCCGUGCUUACCCCGUGCCUACCACGUGACUACCCCGUUCCUACACCGUGCCUACACCGUGUCUACACCGUGUCUACACUGUGUCUACCUGGUUUGUCUGUUCACUAUUAUUUUGUUACUUUGUAUAAGUGUUUCAGCUUUGUUUUAUUAAAUCUCACUUUUUGUUGUGAAUCUUCUGCAUUUGGGUCCUCUUCUGUACCACACCGUGACAAUUAUAUUCUGCCAUGUCAUUAAGCUGGAUGCUGCUUGUUGUUCAGCUAGACCCUUGCAUUCAGCU